rnacentral:rRNA from 1 species
GACGAACGCUGGCGGCGUGCUUAACACAUGCAAGUCGAACGGAAAGGCCCUGCUUUUGUGGGGUGCUCGAGUGGCGAACGGGUGAGUAACACGUGAGUAACCUGCCCUUGACUUUGGGAUAACUUCAGGAAACUGGGGCUAAUACCGGAUAGGAGCUCCUGCUGCAUGGUGGGGGUUGGAAAGUUUCGGCGGUUGGGGAUGGACUCGCGGCUUAUCAGCUUGUUGGUGGGGUAGUGGCUGACCAGGGCUUUGACGGGUAGCCGGCCUGGGAGGGUGACCGGCCACAUUGGGACUGAGAUACGGCCCAGACUCCAACGGGAGGCAGCGGUGGGGAAUAUUACACAAUGGGCGGAAGCCUGAUGCAGCAACGCCGCGUGCGGGAUGACGGCCUUCGGGUUGUAAACCGCUGUCGCCUGUGACGAAGCGUGAGUGACGGUAAUGGGUAAAGAAGCACCGGCUAACUACGUG